UUAAUUGAAACCAAAAAGAGGUAUAUCACUGUUAAUGAUACUAUUGAAUUAAUUUAAAUUCCAAUUAGA
rnacentral:tRNA from 1 species